rnacentral:rRNA from 1 species
GUCAACGGCCAAACCACGUAGGAAAAACCCGGUCUCUUCAGCUCCCGGCCGUUAAGCUGCGUCGGGUCCAAUUAGUAAUAAGGNGGGUAACCACUUGGGAAUACGGGAUG